GAAUUUAGCAGAGAUGCUUUAGUGCCUUCGGGAACUCUGAGACAGGUGCUGCAUGGCUGUCGUCAGCUCGUGUUGUGAAAUGUUGGGUUAAGUCCCGCAACGAGCGCAACCCUUAUCCUUUGUUGCCAGCGGGUCAUGCCGGGAACUCAAAGGAGACUGCCAGUGAUAAACUGGAGGAAGGUGGGGAUGACGUCAAGUCAUCAUGGCCCUUACGAGUAGGGCUACACACGUGCUACAAUGGCGCAUACAAAGAGAAGCGACCUCGCGAGAGCAAGCGGACCUCAUAAAGUGCGUCGUAGUCCGGAUUGGAGUCUGCAACUCGACUCCAUGAAGUCGGAAUCGCUAGUAAUCGUAGAUCAGAAUGCUACGGUGAAUACGUUCCCGGGCCUUGUACACACCGCCCGUCACACCAUGGGAGUGGGUUGCAAAAGAAGUAGGUAGCUUAACCUUCGGGAGGGCGCUUACCACUUUGUGAUUCAUGACUGGGGUGAAGUCGUAACAAGGUAAGCGUACGUGU
rnacentral:rRNA from 1 species